GGAGUCUGGCGGCGUUUUGGCGCCGGUCGAUGAGCGAGGUGAGGAUGGACAGAACCAGCAGACGGAUCUCGGGCUCCUCCAUCAGAGUGAAGGACAGCAGCGGCUCCAGGAAGGACGAGGGCAGCGCCAUCAGCAGGUUGACCAGCAGGGCGGGGACAAUCUGCUCCAUGUGACGAGGUUCCCAAAUGUUUACCUGCAGUUCGUCGUCCACCGUCUUCCUGACCACGCCCUGCAGACCACGGAUCCCUGACACCCGGAUCCUACACACACACUCACACACAAACAUCGUAAAUGUCCCAAGGUUCACCGAACACACCAGGUGGUGUGUUAACAUGAAACCACCCAGACACAGAGACGGACGAUCACACACUGACUUGUUCCUGGUGUCGGCGUCUUCGUGUUCCGAGUGACACAUCUGGCUGAAGCGAGACACGAAGAAGUCGUAGCUGCGAUGGUACGACGGCGUGUCCUCCUCAAUGUUGGCGAACUUCACAAACUGCACAAAGACAGAAAAUGUUUUGGAUUGAAAGUUUUUAAUGGAACGACGUGAUGAGACGCAUCAGAGGGUCAAUGCUGUGAAUACCACCAUCAGACAACCAGAACAUUUUUGAUAGGCUGAAAGGCAGUGAUGUCACCCACUGUAACCACUAGAUGCUGAUUGGCGGAAAACAAGAGCAGAUUCCAUCUUUUUCUUCCUUCUCCGUCUAGAACUUCUACUUCUACAUUCAAACAUUGAACGUUCUGCUCGUUCAGGACGCUUCUGCUUCCAUUCAACUUUUUACACUUUUUGAAAUAUGCAGCUGAAUGCUGUUUGGCUGUAAUAUAGUGACAUACUUUCAUCUGCUCUGCUUUUCAUUAUCUGCUUUAUUUCAUUGGAUGUUGUAUGAUUUUUGUUGUGUAGUGUUUUGAUUGUAAUAAAUUUGCUAAAAUUA